AAUCGUAUCAUGUUAAUACAACUUUAUAAUCUCUAAUAAGAAUAAUGAAAAAAUAAAGAAAAAUUUAGACAUAUGCGAAGAUAAUGUAAAAUGUGUUUACAUUAUAAAGAAAUUUAAUAAAAAGAGAAAAUAACUAAAAUAGUAUUAUGUAAUUAAAAAAAUAACUAAAAUAGUAUUAUGUAAUUAAAAUAUAUUUGAGAACAAAUAAAAAUAAAAAAAUAAGCAAACAUCAAACAUUAACUAAAAUAGAUAUAAUAUCCUUCAUCAC
rnacentral:lncRNA from 1 species